UAGGGCAUUAGGACAUAUCAUGGCUUGUGUGUUCCAGGCUAUGCCGGAAGGGCUAGGCCGGACCCAUUUGGUCGAGCAUAUGAUCAGGGUAAAGACAGGAGUUGAACCUGUGAAACAGCGAUAUUACCCAGUGUCUCCCGUCAUGCAGUCACGUAUGGACGUGGAGAUUACGGAUAUGCUCGAGAGAGGGGUAAUAGAGAAAUCACAUAGUCUUUGGGCAUCUACAGUUCUAAUGAUCAGGAAAAAAGACGGCACAUAUGGGUUUUGUUAAGAUUAUAAGGUUUUGAAUAAAUGUACCGACGAUUCGGCGACCUUAGAUAAGCUAAGGGACGCCAAGUUUUUGUCCAGUCUGGACAUUAAGUCCGCCUAUUGGCAAAUACCUCUGGAGGAGCAGUCUAGGCCCUUCACAGCGUUUACGGUCCCAGACACCUAGACACCAAUUUCAGUUUAAGUGGAUUCCAUACGGUCUGUUUAAUGCACCGACAACUUGGCAUGAUUUAUAGAUUCGGUCAUAGGACCAGAGCUAGAACCUCAUGUUGUUGUGUAUUUGGAUGAUAUCAUUAUCGUCACAAAUCAUUUUGAGAAGGGCUUAGAUUAAAUAGGAACAAGUGUAAUUUUUGUAGGUCUUAGUUUAAGUAUUUGGGGUACGUGGUAGACAAAAUCGGUCUACACGUACAUCCUGAGAAGGUUGAGGCGAUGCUUCGGAUUAAGGUGCCGAAGAACGUAAAGCAAGUGCGGUCAAUUAUAGGAACAGUGUCCUGGUGCCGCAGGUUUGUUAAAGAGGCCUAAUUAAUUGGCCUCUCACCGAUUUAACAAAGAAAAAUGGAAAGUUCAAUUCGACUGAAGAUUGUGAAAAGAGUUUUAGAGAAGCGAAAGAGCGCUUGGUGAGAGCUCCGGUUUUGAGUUGUCAGGAUUUCGAUAGACCUUUCACAAUCCAGACAGACACGUCUGAUUUCGGUGUAGGUGCGAUGUUAACUCAAAUGUUUGAUGACGGUGAGAGGAAGAUAGCUUAUUUGAGUAGAUCCUUGAACAAAGGAGAGCGAAACUAUUCGACGACCCGAGAGAAGUGUCCAG